GACGGAGGGUGCUAGCGUUGUUCGGAAUUACUGGGCGUAAAGGGCUCGUAGGCGGCCAACUAAGUCAGACGUGAAAUCCCCAGGCUCAACCUGGGAACUGCGUCUGAUACUGGAUGGCUUGAAUCCGGGAGAGGGAUGCAGAAUUCCAGGUGUAGCGGUGAAAUGCGUAGAUAUCUGGAGGAAUACCGGUGGCGAAGGCGGCAUCCUGGACCGGCAUUGACGCUGAGGAGCGAAAGCGUGGGGAGCGAACAGG
rnacentral:rRNA from 1 species